GAUGAACGCUGGCGGCGUGCCUAAUACAUGCAAGUCGAGCGAACGGACGAGAAGCUUGCUUCUCUGAUGUUAGCGGCGGACGGGUGAGUAACACGUGGAUAACCUACCUAUAAGACUGGGAUAACUUCGGGAAACCGGAGCUAAUACCGGGUGAUAUUUUGAACCGCAUGGUUCAAAAGUGAAAGACGGUCUUUCUGUCACUUAUAGAUGGAUCCGCGCUGCAUUAGCUAGUUGGUAAGGUAACGGCUUACCAAGGCAACGAUGCAUAGCCGACCUGAGAGGGUGAUCGGCCACACUGGAACUGAGACACGGUCCAGACUCCUACGGGAGGCAGCAGUAGGGAAUCUUCCGCAAUGGGCGAAAGCCUGACGGAGCAACGCCGCGUGAGUGAUGAAGGUCUUCGGAUCGUAAAACUCUGUUAUUAGGGAAGAACAUAUGUGUAAGUAACUGUGCACAUCUUGACGGUACCUAAUCAGAAAGCCACGGCUAACUACGUG
rnacentral:rRNA from 1 species